rnacentral:rRNA from 1 species
UUUAUUAUUAAUAUUUUGCAAUUAAAUUAUUAAUAAUUUAAUUGGGGUGAUAAAAAAAGAAUAAGUAUCUUUUUAAUUGUAAAAUAAGUUCCGUUUUUAGCGAUUAAAUGAAAAAAAUACUCUAGGGAUAACAGCGUAAUAAUUUUGGAUAGUUCAUAUAGAUAAAAUAGUUUGCGACCUCGAUGUUGGAUUAGGAUUCUUUUUUGGUGAAGAAGUUAAAAAAAGAAGUUUGUUCAACUUUU